rnacentral:rRNA from 1 species
AGAGUUUGAUCCUGGCUCAGGAUGAACGUUGGCGGCGUGCUUAACACAUGCAAGUCGAACGGGAAGCCAUUUCGGUGGCGGAGAGUGGCGCACGGGUGAGUAACACGUAGCUGACCUGCCCUCAAGCACGGGAUAACGUACCGAAAGGUGUGCUAAUACCGUAUAAGCUCCCGGUGUUUAGAAAGCCGAGAGAAAGGUUCAGGCGCUUGAGGAUGGGGCUGCGGCCCAUCAGCUAGUUGGUAAGGUAACGGCUUACCAAGGCGACGACGGGUAGGGGACCUGAGAGGGUGGACCCCCACACUGGGACUGAGACACGGCCCAGACACCUACGGGUGGCUGC